UACGGGGGGGGCAAGCGUUGUUCGGAAUUACUGGGCGUAAAGGGCUCGUAGGCGGCCAACUAAGUCGGAUGUGAAAUCCCCAAGCUUAACUUGGGAACUGCAUCCGAUACUGGAUGGCUUGAAUCCGGGAGAGGGAUGCAGAAUUCCAGGUGUAGCGGUGAAAUGCGUAGAUAUCGAGAGGAACACCUGCGGCGAAGGCGGGUUGCUGGGCUGACACUGACGCUGAUGCGCGAAAGCUAGGGGAGCGAACGGG
rnacentral:rRNA from 1 species